rnacentral:rRNA from 1 species
UACGUAGGGGUCUAGCGUUGUCCGGAAUUAUUGGGCGUAAAGAGCUCGUAGGCGGUUCGGCAAGUCGGAUGUGAAAUCUCCACGCUUAACGUGGAGGGGCCAUUCGAAACUGCCGUGACUCGAGUCCGGUAGGGGAGUUCGGAAUUCCCGGUGUAGCGGUGAAAUGCGCAGAUAUCAGGAGGAACACCGGUGGCGAAGGCGGAUCUCUGGGCCUGUUCUGACGCUGAGGCGCGAAAGCUAGGGGAGCGAACAGG